CAGCCGCCACGGUAAUACGGAGGGUGCAAGCGUUAAUCGGAAUUACUGGGCCUAAAGCGCACGCAGGCGGUCUGUCAAGUCAGAUGUGAAAUCCCCGGGCUUAACCUGGGAACUGCAUUUGAAACUGGCAGGCUAGAGUCUUGUAGAGGGGGGUAGAAUUCCAGGUGUAGCGGUGAAAUGCGUAGAGAUCUGGAGGAAUACCGGUGGCGAAGGCGGCCCCCUGGACAAAGACUGACGCUCAGGUGCGAAAGCGUGGGGAGCAAACAGGAUUAGAUACCCCGGUAGUCCCUGUCUCUUAUAC
rnacentral:rRNA from 1 species